UCAGUGCCCAUCAGCGGUUUCUAAGCGACAGUGUGUGUCAAUUUUAUUUCUCAAAUAGAACGUAGAGCUGUUGCGUCCUUUUUAAAUUUUCUUUCUUCUAUUCAUAACAACUUAAUCCAGAUAGUUAAUUAGUUAAAUGGGAUUACUUAUCUACUUAUUAUUUUGUGCUUUUCUGAUCACCAACACAUACGUAUGGGCACAUGCCGAAAAUGUACUGAAUGGUAAAGACAACCAAGCGACUGGUUGUGGACCAGACGAGUGUCAACAACUGCGCGAUCGUCUUGAGAUUGUAGAAGCCGCCAUACGAAGUCUUGUAACCGUUUUAGCAAGCCAAAAGAAUGAACAAAGUGUUACAAUUAAUUCAAUGAUUGUAAGCGAUCCAGCCCUGCGAGCAAUUCUUUCACCCCCCAAUGUCCAUAUUCCGGCCAACAAUGUGACACUAGCAAUUGGUGAAGCAGCGGACACUCAAGGAAAAAAUGCAGUCCAUUAUUUAAAGGGAGGAGUCAAAUGUUCUCUUGCCCACUUAGUAGACGUCAACUAUUCUGCAACAGGGAAUAUUACAGCGACCUUGGCUAAAAACAACUCGCUGCAAAUUGAAUGGACAUUGAUCUCCACGGAUUGCAUUAAAUUCAGUUCGGGAGUCUGGAUCCGAAUUUUCGACGAAGAAUCAAAUCAACAUCAGUCAUAUUCAGCCAAGACAUAUUUAGAGAUACCGAAUAAAUGUUUGAAAAGAAGGGCAAAUGCUUCCUUCUCCAUCGUUCUUCCUCCACCGUCGGUAAAGGCAUCACUUCCUAGAAAACCAAAUUCGUGCCAUUUUAAACUACCGGAUGCUCUGAUUCGAUGCUUGGCGUACACAGUUGAAGUGGUUCCAAACUAUCAGUCCCUAAUGGGGAGACCGCUACUAACAAGAAUAGUUAUUCCACCUGAAGAAGGUAAAAAGGUUACCCCGUUGUUGGAAUUCCAAGCAUUUAGCCACUCGGAUUCACUAUCUUUGAAAUGGCAAGACAAUUCUGGUUGUGCUCCGCAAAUGAGUUCCAUCAUUUUGAAAAGUUUUCCGGAUAAUGGGCAGAGCGUUUCAAAUACAAACUCAUCCGUCAAAAUCCCUCGCAGUUGUUUGCAAAAUGAUGAUGGAAAACAAAAUGAUCACUUGUUUUCGCUGACAUUGUCCAACCAACAGACGUGUCCUGUCGAAUGGAAACGUUUGGAUGCAUGUCGAAGUUACAGGGUGGACUUAACAUCCGAAUAUUCAGAGGCUUGGACCAGUGGAACGUCUUCUUUAGAAAUCUUUACUACGCAACAUGGAAUGUUCCCAGACAACCCUUUUGUGUGGUAUUGUGAAACAUCCACUUUUUAUUGUAACAGUAGCGAUUCCAAAAACCAUCAUACUUGCUGGGGUAAUCGCUACAUCUGUAGUGAGGAUACCGAUAUUGACUGUGAUUUAGGCAUUCGUAUGAACUGCGAUAAAAGGUGCGCUAAAGGAUUCCGCUGUGGACUCCAAUGCAUUUCGACUGAGCAAGUCUGCGAUGGAAAAUACGACUGUUUUGAUGGUUCAGAUGAGCAUUACGAUUGUGAUUAUGCUAGGCAUUGCAAUCAACUGACUGAAAGCUCUGGCCAUUUUUCCUCCCUAAUAAGAACUCCUGGUGUACCGGUCAAACAGCAACAUUUCCUCAGUGCAGUGCAAAAAACAAUUGUUUCCAUUGCAGUACAAGCAAACCAUACCGUGUGGUUAUCUUUCCACAAAUUCAACACCCUUACAGAACACUUCUUAAAUGUUUACGACGGGCCAUAUUCAACCAGUCCCCUUCUAAUGUCAUACAGCGGAUCUAUCAAGCCACUGUCUUUUCGCUCUUCGUCUAAUACCUUAUACGUGGAAUUCCCGUCUUAUUACUACAAUCAAAGUUAUGGCGUCGACGUCUUCUACACAAGUAUGCCGAGUACUGGAACACCAUUUAUUCCAGGAUGUGGGGGUUAUGUCUACGAUAACGGUGAGGUUUUCUCGCCAGAUUUUUUCGAUGACCUUGUUGGCGAUUGUGUUUGGUUUGUUGAAGCCCGGCAAAAUGGAUACGCUAUUUUCUUGAAGCGAAAUUAUACCAUAUCCACGAAUCAACCCAAAAUAACUGUACGUGACGGUUGGAGCUCUUCCGGAAAAGUGUUGUACGAUGAACAAGAUUCUUCUCAAAGAAGGAUGGUGGUACACUCCAUAACGCGCAAGUUAACGGUGCGAUUCCGGCCACCGACAGUGAUUGCAUAUAGAACCUACUUUUACUGGAAUGUCACUAGUGUAUCUACCACUGAAUGCGAACAAAAUCUUGUUGGAUUGUCUGGAACAAUCAAAAGCCUCAACUAUCCUGCAUUGUAUCCAAAUUCUUCAGACUGUCGUUGGGCUAUUUUUACACCACCUGAUACGAAAAUUCGAUUGUUUUUCCCAACAGUUGAAACGGAAGAAGGUUUUGACUAUGUCUGUGUGUAUGACGGACCGACAACAAGUUCUCGGCUUCUUCUAGAGAAAUCAGGAUUGGAUUCUGCUCUUUUCACAGUCACCUCAUCCACGAAUGAGAUGCUCGUCAGGUUUACGUCAGAUGAACUAAUCAGUUUCCCCGGAUUUUUGGCUAUUUACUCAAUUGUUUAAACUGAUGUUUUCCACCACAGAGAUUCAUGAAGUGACAAGUUAUAGAACAAUCAGGGAACGCAAGAAAUUCAAGAUCCAUUCGCGGAUUACAACUGCAACUUACCCGUUAAUUUUGGAUUGUUGAUGUGCUGCGGUACAAAGUUGAUUUUAUUUCGCUAGUUGCAGAUGAUCAUUGGACAUGUAGGAGACGAUCUGCGUUCAGCCAUUGGGUGAAACGACGAGAAAGCAUUUGUUGGUCACAUUUCCGUUACGUGGAGGCUGGAAGGGGAGGGAGGUUAGUAGUAAAGAGCAUAACAAUUGCGAUCAAAGAAAUAGGUGGUUUUGGUGGUUGGGGACGUCGAUAAUGAUUUGGUUGAGUUGACAACGUUCGCCACCAGGCGUAAAUUUACGAACGUCUAAGCUCAUCAGUUACCCGGCGUGAUUUACGGUUUCUCCCGCCAGAGCAGUUGCACAUUUAUUGACACUUGCAAUUCUUAGCCGCUCUUUUUGUUAAACAAGGAUUUUUACGUGUCAGUGAAUUUAUUCGCAAAGCUUUUGCGUCAUAUUUAACGAACAUAAGCCGAUCGCCGCCUGUUAAUGUUGACGAAUUUGAACUGUUCACAAUCCCUGCAGAUACAAUCCGACUCGAUUACGUAAUUUGCCAAUUAUAAGAUUUAACUUUGCAUCGCUUUUUAAUUGAACUACUCAUUUUAGAUCAAAUGAGAAAAGUCUAAUUACCGUUGAACUAUGUUGACUCAAGCCAGCUUAUUCAGAAAGAGGCGAAGAUGGGUCCUCUUCGCCGCGUUUCCUUCGAGAACCUUCUCAUACUCUCAUUUGAAUAAUAAUUUUUUUUUUCUCAUUUGCCAUUUAGAAUUAUGCUAGCUUCUUCUGAAAAUUAAUUUUUUUUUAUUUGUAUUGAUUUGUUUUACUGUUCUAAAAUUAGGAUUUCCAACUAAAAAUCAAUGUUAGUUUUACAAAAAACAAAAAAAAAAAGGCUCUA
rnacentral:misc_RNA from 1 species